AUUGAACGCUGGCGGCAGGCCUAACACAUGCAAGUCGAGCGGAGCGGCGGACGGGUGAGUAAUGUCUAGGAAUCUGCCCGGUCGUGGGGGAUAACGUCGGGAAACGGGCGCUAAUACCGCCUCCUAUUAGAUCAGCCUAGGUCGGAUUAGCUAGUUGGUGGGGUAAAGGCUCACCAAGGCGACGAUCCGUAGCUGGUCUGAGAGGAUGAUCAGGCACACUGGAACUGAGACACGGUCCAGACUCCUACGGGAGGCAGCAGUGGGGAAUAUUGGACAAUGGGCGAAAGCCUGAUCCAGCCAUGCCGCGUGUGUGAAGAAGGCCUUCGGGUUGUAAAGCACUUUAAGUUGGGAGGCGGUACCAGCAGAAUAAGCACCGGCUAACUUCGUGCCAGCAGCCGCGGUAAUAC
rnacentral:rRNA from 1 species